AAAAAACAAGGGUUGAUUUGUAAGAGAGCAAGGAUGUUAACAAUAUUCAACAAAGAGUUGAUGAAUCCACCAAAGUAGCUGCACAGCCCAGCAGCUUUAUUGAACAAACCCAAGUUCCCAGAAGAAAUCAUCAACGAAUUUCUUGCUUCAAAUCCCACCGAUGCUUGUUCAAUCGGGUUCGGAUCCUCCGCUUGUUUUGCUUAUGCCCCACCCGAGAAUCGUCACUCCAAUUAUCAAAGGUUGUGAUAUGUGGAGUGGAUGAACUACUGCAUUUUCUUGGGGGGUUUGAACAAUCUGUGCAGCCUUUUAAGGCAAUAUGGUCUGUCGAGAGGUAACAAUGAAGC